GACGUAGGGCGCGAGCGUUGUCCGGAUUUAUUGGGCGUAAAGAGCUCGUAGGCGGCUUGUCGCGUCGGCUGUGAAAUCCCGUGGCUCAACUGCGGGUCUGCAGCCGAUACGGGCAGGCUAGAGUUCGGUAGGGGAGACUGGAAUUCCUGGUGUAGCGGUGAAAUGCGUAGAUAUCAGGAGGAAUACCGAUGGCGAAGGCAGGUCUCUGGGCUGACACUGACGCUCAUGCACGAAAGCGUGGGGAGCAAACAGG
rnacentral:rRNA from 1 species